rnacentral:rRNA from 1 species
GACGAACGCUGGCGGCGUGCUUAACACAUGCAAGUCGAACGGAAAGGCCCUGCUCUUGUGGGGCGCUCGAGUGGCGAACGGGUGAGUAACACGCGAGUAACCUGUCCCUGACUGUGGGAUAACAUUACGAAACUGGGGCUCAUAUCGGGUAGGAGCUACUGCAGCACGGUGGGGGUUGGUAAGUUUCGGCGUUUGGGGAUGGUAUCGCGGCUUAUCCGCUGGUUGGUGUGGUAGUGGCUUCCAAAGGCUGUGACGGAUAGCCGGCCUGGGAGGGCGACCGGGCACAUGGGGACUGAGGUACGGCCCAGUCGCCUACCGGAGGCAGUAGUGGGGAAUAUUGCGCAAUGGGGGGAAGCGUGAGGCAGCAACGCCGCGUGCGGGAUGACGUCCUUCGGGUUGUAAACCGCUUUCGCCUUUAACGAAGCGUGAGUGACGGUAAUGGGUAAAGAAGCACCGGCUAACUACGUG